rnacentral:rRNA from 1 species
AUGAACGCUGGCGGCGUGGAUAAGGCAUGCAAGUCGAACGGAUUAUUUUUUGACCGAGAUGCGAUUACAUCAAGUCAAGGGAUUUUAAUGAUUAGUGGCGAACGAGUUAGUAACACCUUGGUACGUAACCCGGAGACGGGCAUAACGGGUCGAAAGAUCCGCUAAUUCCCGAUAGUCCCGCAAGGGUAAAGGCGUCCGCAAGGACGAUCACUCUGGGAGCGGCCUAGGUCCUAUCAGCUAGUUGGUAAGGUAACGGCUUACCAAGGCUAUGACGGGUAGGGGGUGUGAGAGCAUGACCCUCAACGACGAAACUGAGAUACGGUUCGUACACCUACGGGUGGCAGCAGUCGAGAAUAUUCGACAAUGGGCGAAAGCCUGAUCGAGCGACGCCGCGUGCGGGAAGAAGGCCUUCGGGUCGUAAACCGCUUUUGCGUGGGAAGAAUUUUGACGGUACCACGAGAAUAAGAGGUUGCUAACUCUGUGCCAGCAGCAGCGGUAAUACAGAGACCUCAAGCGUUAUCCGGAUUUACUGGGCGUAAGGCGCGAGCAGCCGGUUGUAUUAGUCUGGCGUUAAAUCGUGAGGCUUAACUUCACAAGCGCGUCAGAAACGGUAUGGCUAGAGUGGGUAAGAGGCACGCGGAACGUGUGGUGUAGGGGUGAAAUCCAUAGAUAUCACACGGAACACCAAAAGCGAAGGCAGCGUGCUAGUGCUCUACUGACGGUCAAUCGCGAAAGCGUGGGGAUCAAAAAGGAUUAGAUACCCUUGUAGUCCACGCCCUAAACUAUGUCUGCUAGCUAUUGGGAGCAUCGACCCUUCCAGUGGCGAAGCUAACGCGUUAAGCAGAUCGCCUGGGAAGUACGAUCGCAAGAUUAAAACUCAAAGAAAUAGGCGGGAAUUCGCACAAGUGGUGGAUCAUGUGGUUCAAUUCGAUUCUAAGCGAGGAACCUCACCAAGGCUUGAAAUCCAGCUGCAAGCUCCAGAAACGGAGUCGCCUUCGAGGGUGCUGGACAGGUGCUGCACGGCUGUCGUCAGCUCGUCUCGUGAGAGGUCAACUUAAGUGUUUUAACGAGCGCAACCCCCGGCGUGUGUUAUAUUUGUCACACGUGACUGCUGCGGUAACGCAGAGGAAGGUGGGGAUGACGUCAAGUCAGCGUGGCCCUCUGAUGCCUUGGGCUACACACAUGAUACAAUGGACGUUACAAUGGGCUGCCAACCCGCGAGGGGGAGCUAAUCCCAUCAAAAGCGUCCCUAGUUCGGAUAGGAGGCUGCAACUUGCCUCCUUGAAGCUGGAAUCACUAGUAAUCGCAGAUCAGAACGCUGCGGUGAAUACGUUCUCGAAUUUUGCACUCACUGCCCGUCAAGCCAAGGGAGCCGGUAAUACCCGAAUACCUCUAUUUUCCUGGAGGGACACGGUAGGAUCGGUGACAGGGGCU